rnacentral:rRNA from 1 species
AAUCAACGCUGGCGGCGUGCCUCAGACAUGCAAGUCGAACGCGAAAGUUUCCUUCGGGAAGCGAGUAGAGUGGCGCACGGGUGAGUAACACGUAAGUAAUCUACCUCGGGGUGGGGAAUAACAUCGGGAAACCGAUGCUAAUACCGCAUAAUGCAGCGGCUUCUUAUGAAGACAGUUGUUAAAGCAUUUAUGUGCCUGGAGAGGAGCUUGCGGCAGAUUAGCUAGUUGGUAAGGUAAUGGCUUACCAAGGCAACGAUCUGUAGCCGACCUGAGAGGGUGGUCGGUCACACUGACACUGAAUAACGGGUCAGACUCCUACGGGAGGCAGCAGUCGGGAAUUCUGGGCAAUGGGCGAAAGCCUGACCCAGCAACGCCGCGUGAAGGAUGAAGUAUUUCGGUAU